GAUGAACGCUGGCGGCGUGCCUAAUACAUGCAAGUCGAGCGAACAGACGAGGAGCUUGCUCCUCUGACGUUAGCGGCGGACGGGUGAGUAACGCGUGGGAACGUGCCCUUUUCUGCGGAAUAGUCCUGGGAAACUGGGGGUAAUACCGCAUACGCCCUUUUGGGGAAAGAUUUAUCGGAGAAGGACCGGCCCGCGUUGGAUUAGGUAGUUGGUGGGGUAAUGGCCCACCAAGCCGACGAUCCAUAGCUGGUUUGAGAGGAUGAUCAGCCACACUGGGACUGAGACACGGCCCAGACUCCUACGGGAGGCAGCAGUGGGGAAUCUUAGACAAUGGGGGCAACCCUGAUCUAGCCAUGCCGCGUGAGUGAUGAAGGCCUUAGGGUUGUAAAGCUCUUGCAGCUGGGAAGAUAAUGACGGUACCAGCAGAAGAAGCCCCGGCUAACUCCGUG
rnacentral:rRNA from 1 species